rnacentral:rRNA from 1 species
CCAGCAGCCGCGGUAAUUCCAGCUCCAAUAGCGUAUAUUAAAGUUGUUGCAGUUAAAAAGCUCGUAGUUGGAUUUCUGGUAGGAGCGACCAUACCGGACUUGAUUGUCCGCGUAAUGCGUUGUCUCCAGCCAUCCUCGUGGAGAUUGUUUUUGGCAUUAACUUGUCGAAUUCGGGACCCGCGUCAUUUACUGUGAAAAAAUUAGAGUGUUUAAAGCAGGCAAUUGGCUUGAAUACAUUAGCAUGGAAUAAUAAGAUAGGACUUUGGUGCUAUUUUGUUGGUUUGCACAUCAAGGUAAUGAUUAACAGAAUCAGUCGGGGAUAUUCGUAUGCAAAUGUCAGAGGUGAAAUUCUUGGAUUUUUUA